ACUUUCCCAACAGCUAGCCCCAAAGCUAAGAGCAACAAACACUAUUAAUACACCCCAAGACACUAACCACAAGAUAACAAAUCAUUUUACCUCCCUAGUAUGGGCGACAGAAAAG
rnacentral:rRNA from 1 species